CUUAAAUUGAAGAGUUUGAUCAUGGCUCAGAUUGAACGCUGGCGGCAGGCCUAACACAUGCAAGUCGAGCGGUAGCACGGGAGAGCUUGCUCUCUGGGUGACGAGCGGCGGACGGGUGAGUAAUGUCUGGGAAACUGCCUGAUGGAGGGGGAUAACUACUGGAAACGGUAGCUAAUACCGCAUAAUGUCUUCGGACCAAAGAGGGGGACCUUAGGGCCUCUCGCCAUCAGAUGUGCCCAGAUGGGAUUAGCUAGUAGGUGAGGUAAUGGCUCACCUAGGCGACGAUCCCUA
rnacentral:rRNA from 1 species